CUCCACCCAUUCCUCCAAAGCCACAUAUUCCUCCUCCUCCUCCUCCACCCAUUCCACCCCCAAAACUGCCAAGACCCCCGUAGCUCCCGCCAAAGCUGCUCCUGCUCGUACUCUGUGUCCAGGGGAUUCGGAGGUGGAGGACGGUGCGGGGGCUUUGGCAGCCGGAGCCUCCACAACAUGGGGGGGCAGUGCCAGGAUGUCCAUGGGUGGGUGCUAUGGUGGUGGGUAUGGCAGCAGGAUGGGCAGCUUUGGCGGGAGCUACGGGGGUCUUGGCAGUUUUGGGGGUGGAAUGGGUGGAGGAGGAGGAGGAGGAAUAUGUGGCUUUGGAGGAAUGGGUGGAG
rnacentral:lncRNA from 1 species